rnacentral:rRNA from 1 species
AUUGAACGCUGGCGGCAGGCUUAACACAUGCAAGUCGAGCGAGCGGCGGACGGGUGAGUAAUGUCUGGGAAACUGCCUGAUGGAGGGGGAUAACUACUGGAAACGGUAGCUAAUACCGCAUACCAUCAGAUGUGCCCAGAUGGGAUUAGCUUGUUGGUGGGGUAAUGGCUCACCAAGGCGACGAUCCCUAGCUGGUCUGAGAGGAUGACCAGCCACACUGGAACUGAGACACGGUCCAGACUCCUACGGGAGGCAGCAGUGGGGAAUAUUGCACAAUGGGCGCAAGCCUGAUGCAGCCAUGCCGCGUGUGUGAAGAAGGCCUUCGGGUUGUAAAGUACUUUUGGCGAAGAGGCGUUAUCUGCAGAAGAAGCACCGGCUAACUCCGUGCCAGCAGCCGCGGUAAUUC